rnacentral:tRNA from 1 species
UCCCUGGUGUUUUAGAUGGUAAAGAAUCCACCUGAAAUGUGGGAGAUCUGGGUUUGAUCCCUGGGUUGGGAA